GAGAAAAGAAAAUUUAAGUUAAUUCGUCAUAAAUUUUUUGAUCGAUCAAUCACAAAAUACUACCAACUAUAUAUUUAAAAAAAUAUAUUUUGUGAUGAUCAAGACAAUCUAUAUUAUAACCCAUAACUACUACCAACUGCUCUUAGAUAAGCAUAAAUAACUGCUAUGUUUCUGAUUGCCCAAAUUCCCAGCAACUUGCAUCUCAAGUAAGUAUGCACAAACUAUUUUGCACGCCAACCUUGCCAUCUGCCAAUGUUGCACUGAUCCAGCCCAAUAGUGCGUUGUUGCCCAGGGCAGUACACCGUUAAUUGACUGGCAGUCUGGAACCCAGCGCCCCACGCUGCCCAACUGAUUGUGCGUGCUGGGCACCAACAAACUGAAUUCGGAUGACCAAUUUAGUCACGCAAUGUGCCCAACCCAUGAUGCUCCAAGCCUGCCACGCUGCUUUUCCCAUACGCCGAACUAUUACACCAAGCCCAGCCUUAAUGUCUCUUGCUGUCGCUAACUGCCCAGCGUCCAAGGUUGCCACAUGUUCUAAUCAUGCGCCCCAACUGUUGUGCAUGUUGAGCACCAACCCAUGUUAUGCACUGGCAUGCUAGGCCGCUGCCUAUGCCAUGCCCCAACCGUUGCAAAGCCUUUACCUCACAAGCCAUGGUCUUUGAUGCCUAGUUCCUAGCUUAGGCUCAUUCGACGUAUGUGCAAACAAACAAAUAAUAGUCCCCAACAAUAUUGCCAUCGACGUAUGUGCAAGGCAUGGGCGCCGUUACAAAUAAUAGUAUCUGAUCGAUCCAAGCCACCAAUAUAUUUGCUAACAUUGUUGUUAGGGAUGCCAACAAUGCCCCAAAGCACCCACGCUCUAACCAUGGCAGCCUGCCCAUGGC
rnacentral:lncRNA from 1 species